UUACCUGCAAGCUGUGAGAGUGCUGUCCAACUUUUUGCGGUCCGUCAUGAAGCUGCGAGGAGAAGAAGUGUGUCGACGUAUUUUUGCUACUUUCUGUUAAAUAGAUGUGAUUACUGUCAUUGUGAGUUCAUGCACAUUGUUUUAGGUCGAGUGUUUUCUUUAUUACAACUUCUUUUAACGCCUUUUUUGGAUCUUAAUAAAUCUUUUGUUAAGUGCGUCACAAGAUCUCAGUGACUUUCAGUUUGUGUUUUCCUGAAUUCUCGACAAUAUCUGUAACAGAUCAUCGACACAGGACUCUGACACAGAAUGAGUUUGUGGUUUUUACUGCAGAGGGUUUUCAUGAAGCUACAGUUAACUCUUUCUGUAGUCAGACAGCUGACAGAGUACUUUAUUUAUGUCAGAGAGAACCAACAUCACAGUGGAGAGUUUAAUUCCUCAUUCUGCAGGAGUCAAAGAUGCUGCUCAUUGGACUGUUCUUGAGGCGUAUCACCAUUCUGCUAAUACAGAGUUUAACAGUUUGCGUUGCAGAGCAGUCAGAGUUGAUUUGUUCACAUCAACCAAUCGUAGCCCUGGCUGGUGAUGAUGUCAUUCUACCAUGUUACCUUGAUCCUCCAAUCAGUGCCAGUUCUGAGACAGUGGAGUGGACCAGACCUGGUUUAGACCCAAAGUACAUCCAUUUUCACCAAGAUGGACAACCGGUGUAUCACAGUCAAAACCCAUCUUAUUAUCUCAGAACGAGACUGUUUGAGGCUGAACUGCAGAAUGGAAACGUCUCCAUGAAAAUCUUCAGAGUGAAAAUCUCUGAUGCAGGAAAAUACUUUUGCUUCCUUGAAUCAAUGUUGAAGGAAGCUUCCAUCCAACUCACUGUUGGUAAGUCAGACUUUCUGAAGAUGAUGAAUUACACAUUUCUGCUGACUGCAAAGAUCAGUAAUGUAACUUUAUAUUAGAAGUAAGCAGCCAUGAUAAGA